UGCCAUUUGGGGUUUCCCCCUGGCAAGUGUGAGGCAUUAAUGCAAUUUUGUUGCGUGCUGUGGAGUGCUGUGUCACGUUGACAAUGGGGAUUUCCUAGGAAACCAAUUUCCUCUGUCUGUCUUGGAGUGGGAGCCUGUCCAGCAGCCGUGUUCAUUUACCUUCUCAGGUUUCUGAUCAUGCCUCAGCUUCCACAAGGUUGACCCAAUGUAAAAGGCAAGGUCACUGAGGUCAGAGACCGGAAGCAAUUACUGACGGACGGAGGAGGAAGAGAAUUCCUUGUGCUCAACCCCCAGUGGAGCUGCCUUGGACUUUGAAUGAUCGU